rnacentral:lncRNA from 1 species
AGGAACUAAGGUCUUAUUUGCAAAUAUUUUCAGACCAUCGAUUAUGGACGAAGGAACACUAAGAAGUACAGUUUCAGAUGUCUGGAUUUGAAAGAGCUAUAGAAGUUGUCAUCCUUUGUAUUAGAUCCUUUGGAUUUCAAGAAACGUCAUGGAAAGCUUUUAUCUGUGUUAUCUAUUGAUGUGGUUGAAGGACUUAUGAGUGUGUUGGUUCAGUUUUAUGACCCUCUUUACCGUUG